UACGUAGGCAGCAAGCGUUGUUCGGAAUUACUGGGCGUAAAGCGCGCGUAGGCGGCUUUGUAAGUUAGAGGUGAAAGCCCGGAGCUCAACUCCGGAACUGCCUUUAAGACUGCAUCGCUAGAAUUGUGGAGAGGUGAGUGGAAUUCCGAGUGUAGAGGUGAAAUUCGUAGAUAUUCGGAAGAACACCAGUGGCGAAGGCGACUCACUGGACACAUAUUGACGCUGAGGUGCGAAAGCGUGGGGAGCAAACAGG
rnacentral:rRNA from 1 species